CAGUAGCCACGGUAAUACGUAGGGUGCAAGCGUUAAUCGGAAUUACUGGGCGUAAAGCGUGCGCAGGCGGUUUGUUAAGACAGAUGUGAAAUCCCCGGGCUCAACCUGGGAACUGCAUUUGUGACUGGCAAGCUAGAGUGUGGCAGAGGGGGGUGGAAUUCCGCGUGUAGCAGUGAAAUGCGCAGAUAUGCGGAGGAACACCGAUGGCGAAGGCAGCCCCCUGGGCCAACACUGACGCUCAUGCACGAAAGCGUGGGGAGCAAACAGGAUUAGAUACCCGAGUAGUCCCUGUCUCUUAUAC
rnacentral:rRNA from 1 species